CGAUAACUGUCACUUUUCAUAGAGUAGCAACUAAUAACAACAACAUCUAACUGACGAAUGUCAUUCAUAUCCAAAGUCACUCGUAAGGUUAUCAUAUUUUAAAUUUCAUUUUAGUCAUCGUGUGUAUAUAAGUGUUUUUUUUUGUUUUCAUUGAUAAUACCCUCAGGGGUGCUUUUGGAAGUUUUCAGUAAAAAAAUGAUAAAAAGUAAAAAAAACAGGUAUUUUAAAAAAAGUGGUCGAACUCUCCUGGAAUUACCCUACGUACGAACUGCGUAUCCAAAAGUACGUACUAAAUACCUUAUUUUUAUAACCAUGGACGUAUGAAAUAAAAAUUACCUAUCCAGGACGUGUGAUGGGACUGUUUGGAUUGCGCCAGACACAUCUACAAUAUAAUUGAUGAAUACCAUGACCCGGAGCAGUUUAAUUUCGCACACCGAGAGAAUUUUGAAACUUAAUGACUAAUGGCGUUCGGAUAUCGAUAAAUCAAGGAUCACUUAAAGGUUCGCGGGCGGUCGAUUAAGAGGGUUCCGUGUGACGUCACGCGGCGGCCAUCCAGUCCGUCCACUAGCCGCAACCUUUCAUUAGGAAAGUGGCUAGAUUUAUGUGUCGGCCGAGAUCAAAGGCGGUUAGGUGUGAGACCAAUUGUUCCCGUGACAAAACACUGCCAGACUGGACAGCUCCAAUCUAGUCAAAACAAUUAAAGAAGUAACUGCAACCUUUAAAAGGGGACAAUUUAUGAAGAUCAUAAACACAAAUGGAAAAAUUAUCAUUGAUAAACAUAAUCUGAAGAACAGGUGGAAGAUUUUUGAGGAUCCAAGAUCGAAGGUCACGUAUUCCUUUUCGAAAGAAGAUGCAGACAGUACAGGCCCACUCAUAUUUUUUUACUUUGAAACUGACAUUUAUUUACUUAGAUUAAAAUAUACAUUUUUAUAUCUAUUAUAACUAAUUCUCUUAUUCUAGAGGCGGACUAAACUAGAACUAAAUGUACAAAAAUAGACAAAUACGAGGACCAUGACUGCCUCAGCUUGAACCGUUACAAAACUAGGUUUGCUGACUUUUUUAAUAAAACGGAUAAAUGUGUCAAUUAAACCGUCACCAAUCUUGACACUACAAACCGUUCCCUUCUUCCCGUUUAGUUAAACACAUACAACGUUCAGCAGAAACCGUCUGAAGCGAUUUAAAUCAUAUCUCCAGCACUAAAUUAGUUCAUAUCUCGUGUAAUCAAAAAGAUAAUUUAAGACGACAGGCGGAAACGCAUUUAAAAAUGAAGUUAAACAUGUGUAUCUGCCGCGGACCGAGAUGAAAGCACACGCAUCUAAAUACGUUUGAUGAGAUUUUACGAUUUUUGCUUUUUUGAUUUAUAUCGAUUUUCUGCCGGGGAGUCUGGCAGAAAAUUAAAAAUUUGCCAUGAGAAACAUUUUUUUGUAGCAUCUUCCUUUUAAGUAAAAUUAUUUCUUAGUACAUUCUUAAAAGUAAACCCUUGACAAAAUUGAAAGUAAGGAAUGCUAGUUGAGUGUAAAAGUUGUUAAAAAAAGUUUAUGCCAUUAAAAAAAUUGAACUAAAAUAACCGUGCCCCUGGUCUGAUAAUUUGUUUUUUUAUCAUAAUCUUUUAUAUUUAAAUGGAGAGCUGUAUAAUUUUAAAAAUUAGCCCUUGGCUUUAACGAUCGGUUAGGAAAUAUAAAUAGGGCAAUACAGAAUGAGAACAAAACUCACUCUAUUCUUACGCUAUUAAUAAAGUUUCGGUAGAGUGUGAUGAAAUGACUAAUCACUUCCAUAGACUUGGAAUAUCCAAUCUAACAAUAAAAUAUUGGAUUACGAAAAAUAUCCCACCGUUAGCGGAGCCCUACGUAAAUACUAAGCAUAUCCAUCAGCUUACAGAGAAAAAUAACGGGUAUUGGUUUUAUAGAUUGCCAUAUGACAUCAAUCAUUUUGAACCACGUAUUUUAA
rnacentral:lncRNA from 1 species